rnacentral:rRNA from 1 species
ACUCCUGCGGGAGGCAGCAGUGGGGAAUAUUGGACAAUGGGCGCAAGCCUGAUCCAGCCAUGCCGCGUGAGUGAUGAAGGCCCUAGGGUUGUAAAGCUCUUUCACCGGUGAAGAUAAUGACGGUAACCGGAGAAGAAGCCCCGGCUAACUUCGUGCCAGCAGCCGCGGUAAUACGAAGGGGGCUAGCGUUGUUCGGAUUUACUGGGCGUAAAGCGCACGUAGGCGGACUAUUAAGUCAGGGGUGAAAUCCCGGGGCUCAACCCCGGAACUGCCUUUGAUACUGGUAGUCUUGAGUUCGAGAGAGGUGAGUGGAAUUCCGAGUGUAGAGGUGAAAUUCGUAGAUAUUCGGAGGAACACCAGUGGCGAAGGCGGCUCACUGGCUCGAUACUGACGCUGAGGUGCGAAAGCGUGGGGAGCAAACAGGAUUAGAUACCCUAGUAGUCCC